GUGAAGUCACUCAGUUGUGCCCGACUCCCAGUGACCCCAUGGACUGCAGCCCACCAGGCUCCUCUGUCCGUGGGAUUUUCCAGGCAAGAGUACUGGAGUGGGGUGCCAUUGCCUUCUCCAUCCCUCAUCAUCUACUAAGCUGUAAAAUCUUUGAAGGAUGGCUCUUCAAUUACCUGAAUAAGUUUAUGACUUCCUAUGGUCCUCUCUUCUUCAGGACAGAAAUGCCCUCUUCAACUCUGCCUCAGACACCAUGGUCCUAAGUUCCUCCCACACCCUGGUCAUGGUGUAAGGAGCAGUGCCACUGUGGGACCUUCUCACUUUCUUUUGCAUUGUGAUCACUAUGUAGGCAACUCACCAGAGGCAGAGAUGAAGGGCGGUCUGCCCGGAAACUGUUUUCAAGAGAAGAUGGACUGGGACCAUUGCCAAUACCUGUAUUCUGAAAUUAUUGAAACAAAAUUAUUUUUACAAAAUGGAAAAACCAGAUCAACUCCCAAACUAAGAAAUACAGAAGACAGACAGCAAUUGAGGCUCAGAGAUGUCAUACUCACUUCUAAGUGUCCACACACAGAUUUCAGUAGUUUGUAAGUUGAAUCUCUGGAGAGUAAGGAGACAAAUAUGUACUGAAAAACAAAAUAAUAGUUAUUAACAGAUACUGCUUGACUAGAAGUAAGAGCUAAAAUUUUUAUCUAUCUAUAUUUUUUCAAACAAUGUAGCCUAUAUUCUAUAUAGAGUCUAUACUCUCCUUCCUCUCACCCACACAUUGAGUUUUUAUUCCAUUCCUGGAAUAAAGUGAAUAUGUUCUCCCACAAUAGCAAUAAAACUCUCAAACCCAACUUAAAUAAUAGAGAAACGUAGAGCAAAAGGAAAGCUCUGAUACCCUAACCUUGGUGCCCCAGACAAGCUUGGACAGAAAGAGACCUGAAUAGUAAAGAAAGGCCCGUGGUGUUUUUGCCAAGUCCUCUUUUAAGUCUCUCUCCCGCCCCUCCCCACCUCCUUUGAGAAGGUAUUUAACAGUUCCCAAGGGUCUGCUGUCUCUGCUCUGACCUAGAUUUCCAUUGAAAAUUUCCCAGCCGCUCUAACAGGCUCAUUUUUUUUCAAGCCACUUCCAGAUUCUUUCUUGCACAAAUAUGGAGAUUUCCUAGUGGAUGCUUAAAAGUAAGUUAUGAGAAAGAAGUAAAGUCAGAGCUAGACAAGUCAUUUGGAGACAAAUAACAAGGAAAAAUGAUGUUACCAUCAACCACAUGUUAACAAUAAAAAGGCUCAUUCUUUUUCCA